GAAAGAGCUGGGAAUUUCCUCUUAGGUUAAAUACAUAGAGAAGCCUGAAGCUAGAAUCAGAAGGUCCUUAGCCAGGAGGAAGCUUGAGAGGCUAGGGGCAGGGGUGAAACUAAAACAUGAUCUGGCCAAAAGGAUGAGUCACAGGAAUAAGCAGACCACUGCAGGACUAGAGUGACUACUGGCACUAGACAGGAAAGAGGAUGCUCCAAUGUCCCUUCCAACUCUGCAGACCCAUCUGCUUCAGCAGCCCAGCCACUCUCCAGCAGGAGUCUGGGAUUUUGAACUGUCACAGACUGGUGAAAAGAGGAAGCAUUUCUGCAAUGAACUUAUGGUGGAUAUCCUGGACAGGGCCAGCAAAUAGGGACAAUACCAAAAGGAAAAAGAAUUCACAGCAAGUGGACAGAGACAGACAGGCAGCAAAACUCAAGGAGAGAAUUGCAGCACACAAAGAAAGACUUACAGCGCAGUUGCAGACACUAAUGGCUGCUACACUUCAGAGCUCCUGCUACACACACACCAUGUCCUGAGUCCUCUCCACAGAACCAUGUCCUACAGACCAGGAACACAUUGGACAAUACCAUGGUGGCCCAUGUGACUGGGACUGAACGCUAGCUGGACAAGACAAAUCUACCCCACCAACUGUGCACUAAACUUGCUAAAAGGGAAAGGAGAAUGGGAGGCCAGGGAACACUCAAAGUAGGGAAUUUGUUUACACUGGUUUCACUGUUUUGCAUAUAAUGUUUCUCUUAUGCACUUUAUUGAAAUUACUAGUGUUAGUUUAUGACUGGUAUUUUGGUGUUGAAUGGCAGCUGGCCUGCCUGGCAAUACUUUAAUUUUGUUUGUUUGU